AUUGAACGCUGGCGGCAGGCCUAACACAUGCAAGUCGAACGAGUGGCGGACGGGUGAGUAAUGUCUGGGAAACUGUCUGAGGGAGGGGGAUAACUCCUGGAAACGGUAUCUAAUACCGCAUACGCUCAGAUGUGUCCCGAGGGGAGUAGCUCGUAGGUGGGGUAACGGCUCACCUAGGCGACGAUCCCUAGCUGGUCUGAGAGGAUGACCAGCAAAACUGGAACUGAGACACGGUCCAGACUCCUACGGGAGGCAGCAGUGGGGAAUAUUGCACAAUGGGCGCAAGCCUGAUGCAGCCAUGCCGCGUGUAUGAAGAAGGCCUUCGGGUUGUAAAGUACUUUCAGCGGGGAGGCGUUACCCGCAGAAGAAGCACCGGCUAACUCCGUGCCAGCAGCCGCGGUAAUAC
rnacentral:rRNA from 1 species